rnacentral:rRNA from 1 species
AUUUAACGCUGGCGGAAUGCUUUACACAUGCAAGUCGAACGUCAGCACGGGUGCUUGCACCUGGUGGCGAGUGGCGAACGGGUGAGUAAUACAUCGGAACGUACCCAGUCGUGGGGGAUAACGUAGCGAAAGUUACGCUAAUACCGCAUACGUCCUGAGGGAGAAAGCGGGGGACCGUAAGGCCUCUCGCGAUUGGAGCGGCAGCUGGCGGAUUAGCUCGUUGGUGGGGUAAAGGCCUACCAAGGCUACGAUCCGUAGCGGGUCUGAGAGGACGGCCCGCCACACUGGAACUGGGAGACGGUCCAGACUCCUACGGGAGGCAGCAGUGGGGAAUUUUGGACAAUGGGCGAAAGCCUGAUCCAGCCAUUGCGCGUGAGUGAAGAAGGCCUUCGGGUUGUAAAGCUCUUUCGGCAGGGAAGAAACGGCUUGGGAUAAUACCCCGGGCUAAUGACGGUACCUGAAGAAGAAGCACCGGCUAACUACGUGCCAGCCGCCGCCGUAA